rnacentral:rRNA from 1 species
AUUGAACGCUGGCGGCAGGCCUAACACAUGCAAGUCGAGCGGAUGAAGGGAGCUUGCUCCUGGAUUCAGCGGCGGACGGGUGAGUAAUGCCUAGGAAUCUGCCUGGUCGUGGGGGAUAACGUCCGGAAACGGGCGCUAAUACCGCAUACGUCCUGAGGUAGAAAGUGGGGGAUCUUCGGACCUCACGCUAUCAGAUGAGCCUAGGUCGGAUUAGCUAGUUGGUGGGGUAAAGGCCUACCAAGGCGACGAUCCGUAACUGGUCUGAGAGGAUGAUCAGUCACACUGGAACUGAGACACGGUCCAGACUCCUACGGGAGGCAGCAGUGGGGAAUAUUGGACGAUGGGCGAAAGCCUGAUCCAGCCAUGCCGCGUGUGGGAAGAAGGUCUUCGGAUUGUAAAGCACUGUAAGUUGGGAGGAAGGGCAGUAAGUUAAUACCUUGCUGUUUUGACGUUACCAACAGAAUAAGCACCGGCUAACUUCGUG